CGAAGACUGACGCUCAGGUGCGAAAGCGUGGGGAGCAAACAGGUAUUAGAUACCCUGGUAGUCCACGCCGUAAACGAUGUCGACUUGGAGGUUGUGCCCUUGAGGCGUGGCUUCCGGAGCUAACGCGUUAAGUCGACCGCCUGGGGAGUACGGCCGCAGGUUAAAACUCAAAUGAAUUGACGGGGGCCCGCACAAGCGGUGGAGCAUGUGGUUUAAUUCGAUGCAACGCGAAGAACCUUACCUGGUCUUGACAUCCACGAAAGUUUUCAGAGAUGAGAAUGUGCCUUCGGGAACCGUGAGGCAGGUGCUGCAUGGCUGUCGUCAGCUCGUGUUGUGAAAUGUUGGGUUAAGUCCCGCAACGAGCGCAACCCUUAUCCUUUGUUGCCAGCGGUCCGGCCGGGAACUCAAAGGAGACUGCCAGUGAUAAACUGGAGGAAGGUGGGGAUGACGUCAAGUCAUCAUGGCCCUUACGACCAGGGCUACACACGUGCUACAAUGGCGCAUACAAAGAGAAGCGACCUCGCGAGAGCAAGCGGACCUCAUAAAGUGCGUCGUAGUCCGGAUUGGAGUCUGCAACUCGACUCCAUGAAGUCGGAAUCGCUAGUAAUCGUGGAUCAGAAUGCCACGGUGAAUACGUUCCCGGGCCUUGUACACACCGCCCGUCACACCCAUGGGAGUGGGUUGCAAAAAGAAGUAAGGUAGCUUAACCUUUCGGGAGGGCGCUUACCACUUUUGUGAUCCAUGACUGGGGUUGAAGUCGUAAC
rnacentral:rRNA from 1 species